rnacentral:rRNA from 1 species
ACACUCCUGCGGGAGGCAGCAGUGGGGAAUAUUGGACAAUGGGCGCAAGCCUGAUCCAGCCAUGCCGCGUGAGUGAUGAAGGCCCUAGGGUUGUAAAGCUCUUUCACCGGUGAAGAUAAUGACGGUAACCGGAGAAGAAGCCCCGGCUAACUUCGUGCCAGCAGCCGCGGUAAUCCGAAGGGGGCUAGCGUUGUUCGGAUUUACUGGGCGUAAAGCGCACGUAGGCGGACUAUUAAGUCAGGGGUGAAAUCCCGGGGCUCAACCCCGGAACUGCCUUUGAUACUGGUAGUAUUGAGUUCGAGAUAGGGGAGUGGAAUUCCGAGUGCAGAGGUGAAAUUCGUAGAUAUUCGGAGGAACACCAGUGGCGAAGGCGGCUCACUGGCGCGAUACUGACGCUGAGGUGCGAAAGCGUGGGGAGCAAACAGGAUUAGAUACCCUUGUAGUCCCAUGA